GGAAUUCGAUUAGAGUUUGAUCAUGGCUCAGAGCGAACGCCGCGGCAGGCUUAACACAUGCAAGUCGAGCGGGCGUAGCAAUACGUCAGCGGCAGACGGGUGAGUAACGCGUGGGAACGUACCUUUGGUUCGGAACAACACAGGGAAACUUGUGCUAAUACCGGAUAAGCCCUUACGGGGAAAGAUUUAUCGCUGAAGGAUCGGCCCGCGUCUGAUUAGCUAGUUGGUGGGGUAAUGGCUCACCAAGGCGACGAUCAGUAGCUGGUCUGAGAGGAUGAUCAGCCACACUGGGACUGAGACACGGCCCAGACUCCUACGGGAGGCAGCAGUGGGGAAUAUUGGACAAUGGGCGAAAGCCUGAUCCAGCCAUGCCGCGUGGGUGAAGAAGGCCUUAGGGUUGUAAACCCCUUUCAGCGGGGACGAUAAUGACGGUACCCGCAGAAGAAGUCCCGGCUAACUCCGUGCCAGCAGCCGCGGUAAUACGAAUCACUAGUGAAUUCGCGGCCGCCUGCAGGUCGACCAUAUGGGAGAGCUCCC
rnacentral:rRNA from 1 species